rnacentral:lncRNA from 1 species
UCCGCGUUAAACUCCUGGUUUCAGCACAAGCUAGAACCCUAGAAAAGCUUCUGAAGGAUUCUCCCACCUUUUCUUCAUCUUGGUCUUCUUUUCACACAGCUUUCAAGUAAAGAUAUGUCGCUGGCCCAAAGUUCAAUUAAGAUGUGGCAACUUGAUGAAGCAUAGUUCACUGAGUGUUGGUAAGUUGGGGGAAGCUUUCUGGCAUUGGGUCGUCCAAGACGAGAUCGAAGUGCCCCGCAAAACAAUCAGUCAUGUUGCUCUGCUCCAACUGAAAUAAGAUUCAGCAGAGAGCGAAUUUAAUGUGUCUCUCCUGAGUUCUUGCCCUCUUGAUGUGGCUACUUGGUGAAGCAUUAGUUCACUGAAUGUUUGAAACCUCGGGGGGAAGCUUUCUGACAUCAGAUGAUAGAAGACAAAUCGAAGUGCCCUGCAAAACAAUCAUAGACAUGUCGCUCUGCUGUAACUGAAACAAGAUUAAGAAGACAGUGGUUUGAUAUAUAUGGAACAAAGUGUGUCAAAGCAAAUGCAGAUCAAUAUGUAAUGCUUUUUCAGAGACAUACAACAUCAAACAGACGCAUUCGGUCAUGAAAUGAGUCUUUUGUCUUGCAAGGUGUAAAUUCUAUUCAUUUUGGCAUCAAUUCAUGAACCAUUUAGCCUGAAAAUUGUUGCUGUUUGGCCAGCUGUGCCAUCUGCUCAACUUCCUUUCAAUAGUUCAUGAGUUGUGUCUAACGAGGGAUAAUAAUACAUGCAUGACACAGUAUGGCACCAGUGGGACCUGAAGAACCUAAUUGUCAAAUGAUGGCAUCAUUCUAACAACUUAGUGGAUCCACCAUCAUUUGGCCUCGGGCAGGAUUCGACUGAUUCUAUGUAAUGCACAUCAAAGAAGAAAAAAGAAGAGGAUAUGAAAUGAAGUUAUAAUGGAGGUGGUUGACCUUUCCUUUUCACCAACUUUAAGACUAGAGGCCAAUAAUAUCUUAACCUAGACUAAGUUUUCCCUGCAAUUUGAUCUUACUUGACUUGACUAUAUCUGUACUUGCAGCAAAUUUGCAGAUAGCACAUAGGCUAUUUACGUGGAGGUUCAAAUUUCAAAAUCAAGAAUCUCCCUGUAAAUACGAAAGAUUGGAAAUCAUAGUAUUACACUAGUCUAGUUACAUUCUCUAAGACCAAGCUCAUUCAACUAGAUGUUUGAGCUUACUAGAGAUAAUCUGUUUGGAGAUACCUGUCUUCAUGGAUGAUCACUGAAGCAUCACAAGCCAGCUUAAAUAAUCAGAUGAAAAGAUUUAAUGUGCCUAGACCGUUGUGCUAAACAUGUUAAGGCACCUGAUAAAUAAACAAGACAAAAGAUUUAGGAUAUGAGAGGAAAAGAAAAUUCAUUUCUCUCUGCAUGGUUUAGAUGGGCAUGAGGAAUAAGUAGAAAGAAAUAAGGGCCCUUAAAAAAUCUUCAUGGCACUACUUUUCAUGUCAAUGAUCCACAAGAUGAGCUUAAAGAUGAAACUGACUUUUAGAUGUUUGUGUAUGUCUGAUAGCACCUCACAUCACAAUGUACAUUAAAAUCCUUUGCAUUGACUACUCCAGGCCCCCUGUUACAAGAAAGAUGUGGAUUAUUGACCAAAGUGGGGCACUUCUUCAACAAAUCCAAAGAAAAAAAAAAGAUAGAAAUUACUUAUGAAUUUUACAUCUUAACUAUCACUCUUUGAAACAAAAUGUAGAUUUUGCUAAUAUGAUUGCACCAAGAAACUUUAGGAUGGAGCUUUGAUGCAAAUCACACUCGAGAGUGGAUUUGAGAAUUGUAAAAGAAGCAAGAAAUGUCAUGCAUGUUUUAGGGGUUAACUACAGAAGGAGCAUAGAAGAAAAAUGUUGGCAAAAUGAAGCACAGUGGUAGCCACAGAUCACAGGAACUUGUAAUGGUCCUAAUUGUCUCAAAUGGACUGUUUGAGAUUGAAUUAUGGACUUAUUAGGCACAAUCCAACCAACCUUUUUUAAAAUUUUUACAAUGAAGCCCCUCAAAAAAUUCUCUCUGUUUGUUGAACAUUAGUGAAAUGAAAUAUUAAGACAUGCUGAUUGAUACUUAUUACAUCCAGGAUCAGUUUGUCGGAUAUUAUAAUCCAGACCUUAUCAAGAAAGGAAACUUAAAUUAUUAGGUGUAUUUUAAUUUAAUGCUUGGCAUCAUAUAAAUGAGGUUUUAGUUUUUCAUGAUCGAAAACCAGAAAGGUUUUUAUUCAACAAGCCUGUUUCAACUUUCUAGAGCAGUUUCCUUGCAUCUCUUGAUGAGCACCAAAAGAACAGCCUAUCAUGUCCUAUAGCAUCCGAAUUCCUAAAUAUGUCAAGGGUAAUACAUGGCAAACACUUCAUCGUACCCUUUUGGAUCCAAACACAUGAGUGGUGUCUUCCAAGUCCCAGCUGAUACUUUAAUCUCUGCUUGCCAUACUGUUUACACAGAAAUCAGGGAGACAACAUCAAUUCUACAACAUGCAGUGUUUGAGCUUUUACAAUUUUGUUCUUAAGGUGAUCCUAUGGGAUUUAUAACUCAAUGUUUUCACCUUUUUCCCUGUUGGAAGAUACUUCAUAGAAACAAAGAAAUCAUACAACAACCAUCAACCAAAAAGAAAGAAGACCCAAACUACUAGAAGAGAUAGUCUGCUUCUGUGGGAUAAAAUUUACUUUUGUGAUGGUCCAUUUUUCUUUGGGGAGUGUGGUCUACUUGUCAGCUGUCUUACCAUUCCACCACACUCUCCUCAAUUUUUUUCUGUAAAGCCAUUACAGUUGUCCAUAUAAUGUCUGAUCAACCAGUCCUUGCUAGAUUGUUGGUUCCCCACCUGAUCUUGAAGAGGUUUGAGGUACUACAAAUAGUACAUUCUUAGCUUCAUUGUAUGUGUAUAAAUAAAUUGGCCAUGUAUCAGAAUUAAUCAAUCAAGUAAUCAUCAGAAGACCUAAUUUGCAGCACAAGUUGUUGAAGACUUUAAAGUCAUUCUCACUUUGAUAUUAUAAGCAAAGUGUCCCUAAUCAUGCUGGUGUUUAUGCUAAAAAUUCAGCUAAAUAGCUGCUUGCAUUGCCAGCUUAACUAAUUUACAUGUCAAGUAUCAAACAUAAAUGCAGUAUAAAGCAAAUAAACAAAUAUUUUGUUUCUGCAAACAUAAUUAAACUGAUAAAUCAUGGUGUUCCUUGGAUGCUAGAGUAUGGUGUAUCAAAAGCUUAGACAAGCAUAAAAGGAAGAGAAAAGAUAGAGAUCACCUGAGUUCGGUAUGACAUAUAGAACACAGCCCCAGACGCAAAUUGAC